GUCGAGCGAGAUCUUCGGAUCUAGCGGCGGACGGGUGAGUAACGCGUGGGAACGUGCCUCUUGCUACGGAAUAGCCCUGGGAAACUGGGAGUAAUACCGUAUGUGCCCUUCGGGGGAAAGAUUUAUCGGCAAGAGAUCGGCCCGCGUUGGAUUAGGUAGUUGGUGGGGUAAUGGCCUACCAAGCCGACGAUCCAUAGCUGGUUUGAGAGGAUGAUCAGCCACACUGGGACUGAGACACGGCCCAGACUCCUACGGGAGGCAGCAGUGGGGAAUCUUAGACAAUGGGCGCAAGCCUGAUCUAGCCAUGCCGCGUGAGCGAUGAAGGCCUUAGGGUUGUAAAGCUCUUUCAGCGAGGAAGAUAAUGACUGUACUCGCAGAAGAAGCCCCGGCUAACUCCGUGCCAGCAGCCGCGGUAAUACGGAGGGGGCUAGCGUUGUUCGGAAUUACUGGGCGUAAAGCGCACGUAGGCGGACUGGAAAGUCAGGGGUGAAAUCCCGGGGCUCAACCCCGGAACUGCCUUUGAAACUCCCAGUCUUGAGUUCGAGAGAGGUGAGUGGAAUUCCGAGUGUAGAGGUGAAAUUCGUAGAUAUUCGGAGGAACACCA
rnacentral:rRNA from 1 species